CCUACGGGUGGCUGCAGUGGGGAAUAUUGGACAAUGGGGGGAACCCUGAUCCAGCCAUGCCGCGUGUGUGAAGAAGGCCCUCGGGUUGUAAAGCACUUUCAGUGAGGAAGAACGCCUGGUGGUUAAUACCCAUCAGGAAAGACAUCACUCACAGAAGAAGCACCGGCUAACUCCGUGCCAGCAGCCGCGGUAAUACGGAGGGUGCGAGCGUUAAUCGGAAUUACUGGGCGUAAAGCGCGCGUAGGUGGCUUGAUAAGCCGGUUGUGAAAGCCCCGGGCUCAACCUGGGAACGGCAUCCGGAACUGUCAAGCUAGAGGGCAGGAGAGGAAGGUAGAAGUCCCGGUGUAGCGGUGAAAUGCGUAGAGAUCGGGAGGAAUACCAGUGGCGAAGGCGGCCUUCUGGACUGACACUGACACUGAGGUGCGAAAGCGUGGGUAGCAAACAGGAUUAGAUACACUAGUAGUC
rnacentral:rRNA from 1 species